rnacentral:rRNA from 1 species
GAUGAACGCUGGCGGCGUGCCUAAUACAUGCAAGUCGAGCGAACGGACGAGAAGCUUGCUUCUCUGAUGUUAGCGGCGGACGGGUGAGUAACACGUGGAUAACCUACCUAUAAGACUGGGAUAACUUCGGGAAACCGGAGCUAAUACCGGAUAAUAUUUUGAACCGCAUGGUUCAAAAGUGAAAGACGGUCUUGCUGUCACUUAUAGAUGGAUCCGCGCUGCAUUAGCUAGUUGGUAAGGUAACGGCUUACCAAGGCAACGAUGCAUAGCCGACCUGAGAGGGUGAUCGGCCACACUGGAACUGAGACACGGUCCAGACUCCUACGGGAGGCAGCAGUAGGGAAUCUUCCGCAAUGGGUGAAAGCCUGACGGAGCAACGCCGCGUGAGUGAUGAAGGUCUUCGGAUCGUAAAACUCUGUUAUUAGGGAAGAACAUAUGUGUAAGUAACUGUGCACAUCUUGACGGUACCUAAUCAGAAAGCCACGGCUAACUACGU